rnacentral:rRNA from 1 species
AUUGAACGCUGGCGGCAGGCUUAACACAUGCAAGUCGAGCGCGCGGCGGACGGGUGAGUAAUGUCUGGGAAACUGCCUGGUGGAGGGGGAUAACUACUGGAAACGGUAGCUAAUCCCGCAUACCAUCAGAUGUGCCCACAUGGGAUUAGCUAGUAGGUGGGGGAAUGGCGCCCCUACGCUACGAUCCCUAGCUGUUCUGAGAGGAAGACCAGCCACACUGGAACGGAGACACGGUCCAGACUCCUACGGGAGGCAGCAGUGGGGAAUAUUGAGCAAUGGGCGCAAGCCUGAUGCAGCCAUGCCGCGUGUGUGAAGAAGGCCUUCGGGUUGUAAAGCACUUUCAGCGAGGAGGCGUUACUCGCAGAAGAAGCACCGGCUAACUCCGUGCCAGCAGCCGCGGUAAUAC